UCCAGGUCAUGGUGACCAUUUCUUAGGGAU
rnacentral:piRNA from 1 species